AUUAUUUAUUUGUUUUAUAGGAAAGUCAUAAAAAUAUAUUUAUUUUAUAUAAAUAAAUAGCCUAAUAAUAUAAUAUAAAUAUAUUUAAUUUCCAAACAUUCGGACAAUAAAAUAACUAAAUUAUGCUUAUUAUAAUAAAUAAAU
rnacentral:misc_RNA from 1 species